AAUCACUGUAAUCUUGAUGUGUAUUAAAAACUGAAAUAAACAUCUAUUUUUCAGCUUCAAAUAUUGCUUACUUAUUUUUAUUAAUUAGCUAAUAUUUUUGAUUUUUAUAAUUUAACUUGAUAAUGAAAAUAAGCUUAUGUAAGGUCAAUGCAAUUGUAUUGCUGGAGUGGAGGGUCUAUGCAGAUACACUGCAACAACCAUUUGGUUUAUAAAUGGAGAAAAUAAAGACUUGCACUUUUCAUCUCCAAACAUGGGGAAAACCAUCAAAUGAGAACAGGUACAAACAGCCAUUGACAUUAGAGAAAUUAUUUGGAAAGCCAAAAUAUAAUAUAAAUAUGAAUAAUAUUCCUUCAGUUAGUCCCACUGUAUUAAAUAAUUUUCCAAAGUUAAUUUGUCCACUUCAAAUGUUCCUGCAAAGUUUGCAGCAUUCAGCUGUACCUGUAGCAAAUGAGAUCAACAUCUAACAUCAGUUACAAUAAAAAAUGAAGGAAACUAAAUGUAGAGAGUUAUUAUAAUCAUUUUUAUGAUACCCAAUCAACCCAACAACACAGCAAUAAUUGCCACCAUAACAUUUUUCCACCAUUGUUUACUAGUUCUUAGUUUUUCUAACAGUCACUAGAUUGCACCUCACAUCAAUUGAAUUAAGGUGCCAACAAGCAUAUAGACUUAGAACUACGGUAUAUUAGUAACUUAUUCUAUAUUAGUAAUUUUUUUCUUUCCUCAUUUUUUUAUUUUUAUUUAAAAUGUUAAUAUGUUAGUAACGUACAUCUAAACUUAUAUAUAUAGAUAAUAAACAACAUUCACUCAGAAUAAAAGUUGUUAGGAUAGAGUUGUUAGUAAGCCAAUGUAACCAAACCUGACUCUUUUGAUACAUCCACUGCCAUAAGAAAGAAAGUGUGGAAGUAAAUGCAUCAUCAAUGCACCUCAACCAUUGGGAAAAAAACUAAUAGUUGCAGCACACCAGAGGAGACUGUAUGUCUGUAAAGUUUGAAGUCAUAUCUCCACAUUCACUCUGUGACAUCCACAGCUUCCUAUUUAACACUCCCAUUUCUUCUGUUUAACAGAAACUAACACAAAAGCAGAAGGAAACAAUAAUGAAUACAUAAGAAACAACAGAAAUCAACUUAAAAAUCAAAAUCACAGAAAAAAUAGUAGGAAACAGGUGGAAACACCAAGGAAAUUAAGCAAUAACCCAAAACAAGUUAAAUGAAGGCAGAACAGAGAUGGAAACAGAUAGAAACAUCAGGGAAACAAAGUAGUAUCCAAAGAAAAUAAAUGGACAAGAAGAAACAUGGACAUAAGCUAAAUAUCAGCUAAAAAAAUGCAAAUCACUAAAGCAAAAUAUAGAAAAUUAUAAACAUGGAAACACCAAUAACAUCCCUAAAAACUGCCCAAUACAGAAUUGCUAAACUAUUUAUUACUAAAUACUAAGCCUAAUCUAAUCUGUCUUCUAUACUGCUUGACUACUAAGCAAAUUAAAUAUUCUAAUUCUACUCCAUCAUUCAACUAAUAAAUAAAAACAAUGAGUGAACUAUAUAACUAUAAGUGAACAAUGAGCGUAGCCAUUUUAGGCAAUAGAGAAUCUGAGAGUUGUAAAUGAAGUGGCAAAACACCAAUAACAUCCCUAAAAACUGCCCAAUACAGAAUUGCUAAACUAUUUAUUACUAAAUACUAAGCCUAAUCUAAUCUGUCUUCUAUACUGCUUGACUACUAAGCAAAUUAAAUAUUCUAAUUCUACUCCAUCAUUCAACUAAUAAAUAAAAACGAGUGAACUAUAUUGAAACUAUAAGUGAACAAUGAGCGUAGCCAUUUUAGGCAAUAGAGAAUCUGAGAGUUGUAAAUGAAGUGGCAAAACAACAUAAAAAAACUCAAGCACAAAUUGUCUAACCUGAGUGCUAUUAACAUAGCAGAGGAGACCAAAUGGAAAAAAAUAAUUCAAGCUGUGGAGGACCCCAGUUUACCCAUGGGAAGAAAACACCAAAGGAGGAAAUAAACAGAAGGAAACAAUCAAUAACAUGAUAGCUGGAAUUUAAUAUUUCUAAAAUUCUACAAAUUUUGUGUAUAGGUAAAACUUAUUAAAAUUCUUGAAUUCAAUUAAAAAAUAACUAACAAUUAUAGCAGGAUUAACUGUAGAACUGCCGGACUAAUUACGGUGGUACUGUGCAGCAAUUAGCGUUAAUUAUUAAU
rnacentral:lncRNA from 1 species